AUUGAACGCUGGCGGCAUGCCUUACACAUGCAAGUCGAACGGCAGCACGGGUGCUUGCACCUGGUGGCGAGUGGCGAACGGGUGAGUAAUACAUCGGAACGUACCUUAUCGUGGGGGAUAACGCAGCGAAAGCUGUGCUAAUACCGCAUAAGCCCUGAGGGGGAAAGCGGGGGAUCGAAAGACCUCGCGCGAUUAGAGCGGCCGAUGCCUGAUUAGCUUGUUGGUGGGGUAAAAGCCCACCAAGGCGACGAUCAGUAGCUGGUCUGAGAGGACGAUCAGCAACACUGGGACUGAGAAACGGCCCAGACACCUACGGGAGGCAGCAGGGGGGAAUUUUGGACAAUGGGGGCAAACCUGAUCGAGCAAUGCCGCGUGAGUGAAGAAGGCCUUCGGGUUGUAAAGCUCUUUUGUCAGGGAAGAAACACCGGCUCUAACACAGUCCGGGAAUGACGGUAUCUGAAGAAUAAGCACCGGCUAACUACGUGCCAGCCGCCGCAGUAA
rnacentral:rRNA from 1 species